GGGAGACCUAAGAUGGAGGAACGGCAUGGGGCUGAGUGUGCCUUGAGGGAUACACCUAUACCUACGUUACCAGAUGAGAAGACAAACACACAGACCCAGAAGAGGCAAGAGCCUCACUUGGGGGAGGGGACGCGAAGGGAAAGCAAGAACAUUGGUGUUGGAGGGGCCUGGGAAUUUCCUAGACCAGCGGUCCCUAAACUUCUGUGGACCACCAAGCAGGUUCCACUCCUGCGCGACCUUCACCCGGAUACUGAGUGACUGAAAACAAGCACCGCUCACGUACUCACAGUUCUGCGGGUUAGCAACUUGGGCGGGGCCCCGAGAAGAGGUUUUGGGCCCGCCCCACCUGGGGUCUUUCAUGCCACUGCCGUCUUGUGGCUUUGGGGCUCAACAGGGCCUGGACGGUCCCAGCUGGCCCCGUUCACAAGUCUGGUGGUUGGUGCCGGCUGUCGGCCUGGCCCCUCCUCUCCUACUCCAGCUUUCCUGAUGCUUUAUUCACGUGGCCUGUGAAAGCGGCCUCUCCUCAGCCUCUGCAUCUCCAAGUUCCCACUGUCAUCGUCAGUCAAAUGACCGACCGACUUUCUCAGUUCCAAAUUCCCAGAGGAGAACAUUGGACGGUCUAAGCUCAAGGUGGCGCCGAGGCCCUGGAACGGAAGCCCAGCAAUUGCCUCCUAAACUGGAAUUCAGAACUGCAGCCACUCUGCCUCGGUUUGACAGAGAAAGUGGUCUCUAUGCAAUGUGAUGGAUGGUGAGGGGCGUCCCAGGCUAAGAAGAGCCUCCUUUUCUGCUCACAACCACCUGAAAGUCAAUAUAUAGGUGACACAGGGCCGGGCCUCACUCCAGACCAAUAGAAUCUGUGCAAGUGGGCCCCGACCUGACCCCAGUGUGUGCCCAGGUCUGCUUCUCUAGGGUCUUGUCCUUCGUCACCUUAAAGACCAGCUCACCGCCAAGCCAGAAGCAUUUACAACAUUGGGAGUGGAGAGGAGGGAGUGUCUGAGCCCAGUGGACACAGAUGCUCCAGGACUAGGAUAGAAUGUUUCUAACUUCUUUCCUGUAAUAAUGUGUGACC